CGCACAUUGCGCCCGUCAGUAUUCUGGCGGGCAUGCCUGUUCGAGCGUCAUUUCAACCCCUCAAGCGCUGCCGCUUGGUGUUGGGGGACGGCCGCCCUCCACGGCCGCCCCCGAAAUGAAUCGGCGGCCCCGUCCGCGACCUCCUUUGCGCAGUAAGAAGAAGUGCCCCCAGGGGACGACACUCUCGCAACCAGGAGCGCGGCGCGGCCACUGCCGUAAAACGCCCCAACUUCUCAAGAGUUGACCUCGAAUCAGGUAGGAGUACCCGCUGAACUUAA
rnacentral:misc_RNA from 1 species